GACGAACGCUGGCGGCGUGCUUAACACACGCAAGUCGAACGGAAAGGCCCUGCUUUUGUGGGGUGCUCGAGUGGCGAAGGGGUGAGUAACACGUGAGUAACCUGCCCUUGUCUUUGGGAUAACUUCAGGAAACUGGGGCUAAUACCGGAUAGGAGCUCCUGCUGCAUGGUGGGGGUUGGAAAGUUUCGGCGGUUGGGGAUGGACUCGCGGCUUAUCGGCUUGUUGGUGGGGUAGUGGCUUACCAAGGCUUUGACGGGUAGCCGGCCUGAGAGGGUGACCGGCCACAUUGGGACUGAGGUACGGCCCAGACUCCUACGGGAGGCAGCAGUGGGGAAUAUGGCACAAUGAGCGGAAGCCUGAUGCAGCAACGCCGCGUGCGGGAUGACGGCCUUCGGGUUGUAAACCGCUUUCGCCUGUGACGAAGCGUGAGUGACGGUAAUGGGUAAAGAAGCACCGGCUAACUACGUG
rnacentral:rRNA from 1 species